UACAGAGGUCCCAAGCGUUGUUCGGAUUCAUUGGGCGUAAAGGGUGCGUAGGUGGCGCUGUAAGUCAGGUGUGAAAUUUCGGAGCUUAACUCCGAAACUGCAUUUGAUACUGCGGUGCUCGAGGACUGGAGAGGAGACUGGAAUUUACGGUGUAGCAGUGAAAUGCGUAGAGAUCGUAAGGAAGACCAGUGGCGAAGGCGGGUCUCUGGACAGUUCCUGACACUGAGGCACGAAGGCCAGGGGAGCAAACGGG
rnacentral:rRNA from 1 species